rnacentral:rRNA from 1 species
UACGAAGGGUGCAAGCGUUACUCGGAAUUACUGGGCGUAAAGCGUGCGUAGGUGGUGAGUUAAGUCUGUCGUGAAAGCCCCGGGCUCAACCUGGGAAUGGCGAUGGAUACUGGCUCGCUAGAGUGCGGUAGAGGAGAGUGGAAUUCCCGGUGUAGCAGUGAAAUGCGUAGAGAUCGGGAGGAACAUCAGUUGCGAAGGCGGCUCUCUGGACCAGCACUGACACUAAGGCACGAAAGCGUGGGGAGCAAACAGG